UACGUAGGGUGCGAGCGUUAAUCGGAAUUACUGGGCGUAAAGGGUGCGCAGGCGGCAGAGCAAGUCGAGUGUGAAAGCCCCGGGCUUAACCUGGGAACUGCGUUUGAAACUGGGAGACUUGAGUGUGGCAGAGGGGGGUGGAAUUCCACGUGUAGCAGUGAAAUGCGUAGAUAUGUGGAGGAACACCGAUGGCGAAGGCAGCCCCCUGGGUUAACACUGACGCUCAUGCACGAAAGCGUGGGGAGCAAACAGG
rnacentral:rRNA from 1 species